rnacentral:lncRNA from 1 species
ACACACACACACAUGCACGCAUGCACACACACACACACAGAAGGUGAACACACAGGAUGAGGCCCUGAAAACUCAUUUCACCCGUGUACCUCACCCAAAAAUUCCCCUUUGUACUCCUAUCUUUAUCUCUAACUGACAGCAUGAAGGUAGCCCGAAGUCCCCUCACCCUGUCUGUCCUCCUGAUUCUCUAGCCCAGUUCCCUCUAGCUCCAGCACAGACUCUUAUCUCCAGCCCUGACUGCCGAAACCCUCCAGCCCCAGCUCCAGCCCCUCAGGAGGGGACUGCGUGGGAGGAAUGACUCCAGCAAGCCGGCAGCUGACCCGUCUCCUGCCUGCACGCCUCCCGCUGUGGUCCACUGCCGGUGGUCUUCAGCUCUCUCCUCGUCCCACCCCCAUGGUCUGCUGACAGCCCAGCUCAGUGCAUCCCUGCCAUCUCUGCUCUACCGCUGGUCCUCCCAACAACCAACUUACAGGUAAGGAAACUGAGGCCCAGAGAGAGGGUGUAUGUGCCUGUGUCACACAGCAACACAGGACUGCACCAUAACAAGAAAGCCGGGACUUCCACUCCCAGACGGGGCUCCUUCCCCAAACAAUCCCUCAGUCACCUCCUCCCUGUAUGGUACCCAGGGAAUGGCCCUUCCAGAUCUGGGCGCUGAGGAGGCUGCCCCAUCCCCACCCUGCCUGGAGCCCCACUCACUCUGCUGAAAUGUCUCUGAUUCUCAGCCUCCGCCUUGGGGGCUUCUCAGUUACAGCGCAUCUUGAUCUUGUUCCUCCGUGACUGUCCCUGGCUCAGCUUCCACCCCCAGCUGGGGCUCAGCUAUCCCUGUGUCCCCAGUCCAGAGCCUGCCUCUCAGCUCUCCCAGGGCGGCCUCGAGCGCUGCUCCUGCUCCUCCAGGGGAGAGGUCAGUAAGGCAGGGGUUUGGCUGGUGCCACUUGAACCAAGUCCAGAUGCACUGCCCAAAAUAACAUCCCUCGUCCGGCCAGCAGUGCCGUGGAGACCGAGUUCUGAAGCAGGCCUUUGUGAGGUCAGAGGUGGAGCUCUGGGUGGGCACUCUGGGCCUCUCAGUCCCAGAGGAAAGGCCUGUCCUCCAAGCCAAUGUGCAGCCUGACUCUGGGGCCAGCGCCUGAGGAAGCCCUCCCUGAGCCCCAGCCCUGGGGAAGGCUGAAGAGGCCUCUGAGCCCCCAGCGCUGGGGAGAGCUGUGCAGAAUAGGACUGGAGGUGGAAGUGUUGGAGAUUAACAGCCAGGUGGAGGGGACGGGGGAGGCCCUGGGUCAGUCCUCAGGGAACCCCCAUUGUGAAGGGGGAAAGGGAAACUCAGGCCCAGUCCUCAGGGGCCCCCAGUCUGAGAGGAAGGAGGACACACGAGCCAUAUUUGCAGAGAAACACCAGCCUGCGAGAGGAGGGCUUGACCCUGGGGACUGAGAGGUGGAGAAGACACAGUCCCAUCUGUCUCACGGCAGAGACAGGUUUGGGGGCACACGUGAAGGUUUGACAUAUAGUAAACACAUGUCAUGGUGGUUUGUUGUACAGAUU